AAUACUCAAACUAUAUUUAUUUUAAUUAAAAUAUUAAUAAAUUGCAAAUGAAACUUAUAAAAUCUCUCAAACUGAAAAAAAAUCUUAAGGUUAUCAACUUUUUAGUUUAUUUUAUUCCUAAAAUUUAAAACUAACUUAUUUUUGAAAGAAAUGUUUUGAAUUUGAGAGAUCUUAUAAGUUUCAUAUGAAACUUAUUAGUAUUUUAGGGUAUUAAAAUAAGCAAAAUUUUAAAAGUUAGUGUAUUAAAAUGGAAAAAUAAUUAGUUAGGGUAUGAAACUGGGUAGAAAAAAAAUUUCGAUAUUAAAUAGCUUAACAAACUUUAAUAGGGUAUUUUUUGGUGGAAUUUUCCCAGUAUUUUUCAACCUUGAAUAUUAUUCAAACCCUAACCUAUUUACAUUAUGAAGUUUUAUUACUCUCUCUCUGCUUUUAUUUCUUGGCGUUUUGGGUUUGUACAUAUAGAUUAAAAAAAGUAUUUAAUUUCAUUUUUAUGAAAAAAAAACAUCAUUUAUAUCUAAUUAAUCACAACCCAACCAAUAGAAAAACAAACAGUACAAUAUAAAGAGUCAUAUAAUAUAGUAUUAAUAAAUUUUACAUUGAAAUUUGAAAAACUAAUGUAAUUUGAAACAAUUUUUUUCUAAAACGUCAUUUAUAAAAAACGGACGAGGGUAUUCGAUCUCAAAUUUGAUACCACUUUUUAAAUUUAGUAAUUUAAUUUUAAAUGCUAAUCUUAUUUUUUUUUGUUAUCAACAUACAGACUCAUCUAAGACCAUGUGAAUCACUCUUGUAACUCCGCAUCCAUAUGAACGCGAAAAACGAUUGUUUCCAAGCAUUACGUGCUAGAUUGUCACUUUUAAAUGCUAAUCAUUUUCGUAAAUACCUUAAAUUUAUUAUAAAAGACAAAAUUAACAUUCUUAAAUCAUAAAAGUUUAUAAACCCAACCCCACCACUCUAAAUACUAAAUCUUAAACAAGAAUCACUAAACCAUAAACCUAAAUAUUUAGUAUUUUUGAUUGAGGGUAUUUGAAAAAUAGUAUUGAGCUUAGUAGCAAUUUCUCAAAACGAACGGAGUAUUAUUUAUCAUGAUGCAUCCAAACGCUGCAACUUACAUAAAGAUAUCUAGAUUUUAUUAUUCUCGCAACUCAAACUCAUCAUCCGGAUUCAACUCUUGAGUUGGAAACUAUUUAAUACUCGGGCCCCUUAGUACUCCUACUAAAUAUGCAUAUGCAUGAUUAAAUACUGAACAUGUCAUGUUGUAGCAGAAACUAAUUUUAGUCGUAUAAACGAAAAACAUUGCAGCAUUUGAUUUUCCUUAUGAGUUAUGGCUAUUAUCCUCUAGGUAGUUAGAGCAGGAUUGAUGCGGCAGCAAAGAGGAGUGCUUAGGGGUGGGUUCCACCACAAAAGGAGAAGAAGCAAAGCCAAAGACGCCAGAUCUGGCGUCGAUGCUUGAGCUGUUUCGCGGGCCCCACUGACAGGUGGCAGUCCGCGAUUGGUUCGUUUUAAAUUUUUUUUUUUUUAAAUCAGAGAAAAAACCAAAAAAAAAUAAAAUAAAAAAAAUAAAGCUCCCCACAUAAAAUUUAUAUAAAAUCACUAGAAACACUUGCAAAUCUCAUGUUAUUCAAUUAACCAUUUACAAAACUUAAAUCAAAUCCACUGUUAUUGAAAGGUAGACACUAUUUUGAAAGAAAAAGCUAUGAAUGUGAUUUUAGAAUACUUUGCGUUAAUUCAAGUUAGAAAAUGUGGUUAUAAAACUCCUACCUCUACAUGUGUUAUUUGGACUGACUUCACAAUAAAAAUAAAACAUGUAUCUAACGAUGAAAAAGAAAAUAUAUACAGAAGACAAUUGACGACUACUUUGCAUCUAUCUAAUUCUUGAGAUGAUCGUUCAAUGCGUAUGACUUGCAGCUUUGUCUCUCUGCUCCAUUAGCAGAUAGAUACAAAAAAAUCAAAUCUGUGAACACUUCAUCUAUGGAGAUCGGCUCAAACCCCAUAAAGUUUCUUCCUUUAUCGAUAACACUACUCUGUUCAUCUUCUUCCUCUGUUAUUAUCCCGCGAUGGCUGCAGAUGUAAGAUGCUUAGGAGGAAUCCAAACCUCUCACUGAUCCUUAGUAACUUUGCAAACGCCACUCUUGGGUUCCUCUGUAAUUUCUGAAAAACCAAGCUAUCAGCUUCCUUGUAGGACACACGAGCAUACUCUAUACUAGAUAUUUCAAUUUUUGGGUGUGUCUUGUUGGAACUUGGAACAAUCAGGAGAACAUAGUUAUCAAUCUCGAGCUUCCAGACAUGGUUUUUCUUGUCCGAUCCCAGAGUCUCCUCAGUACUGUGGGAGCUUACAAAAACUGGAUCUAUGUAGCAACCAAUAAUUGUCUGGUAACAUCCCUCCACAACUGUGUACUAGGUUACUGUUUUUGGUGUCUCUUGAUAUGUCAAACAAUGAUUUGAACGGUAAGAUUACUUUAGCAGAGUGUAGGUUUGUGAACUCUUUGGUUCUGUCGAAGAAACAGUUAUCUGGAGUUGUCGUCUUUGGGUAGAUUAGCGACGUUCUCUUUGUCUAAGCUGGCGUGUUUGGUGCUGCUGCAUGGAUGUUGUUAGCUUUUGGGGUUUGGUGGUAUUGCCAUUUGAAGUGUACAAAGAGAAGAGAAGUAGAUUAACAAAAGGAGGAGUUAGUUGUUUGGCGUAAAGACUUAGUAGCCAUAAGCUUGCUCAAGUUUCUUUGUUUUAGAAGCCUUUGGUUAAAGUUAAGCUUGGGGACUUAAUGGAUGCAAGCUCUGAGAACAUUAUACUAGGACAUGGACAACGUAUAAGGCGCUUCUUUCUGAUGGCACAACAUUUGCGGUGAAGCACUUUAGCACAUGUAAGCUAGGGGAGAAGGAGUUGUGGGAGCUGUGUCACCCUAACUUGUUUAGAAGUUCUUUUUGCAGGCACAACACGAUAAACCUGAUAAUUGUGUACUCUUUUUUUUUUGGAAAACAUCACUCAAGUUAUUUGUUUCGGAUUAAGCUUUUACACGUAACUAUAACUAUGAGAAUGAGUGUAUGACAUGUGUAGCAAAAAUGAGCGUACAUGACAUGUGUAGCAAAAAUGAAUGAAUUAACAUGAAGACUUGUUAGUAAAUCACCUAUUAUAUAUUUCUUGUUGUCUUAUAAAUUUUAUAUUUUGAUAAA